rnacentral:rRNA from 1 species
GUAGGGAAUAUUGGGCAAUGGAUGCAAGUCUGACCCAGCCAUGCCGCGUGGAGGAAGAAGGUCCUCUGGAUUGUAAACUCCUUUUUUGGGGGAAGAAUAGUUCUCUUGCGAGGGAAUGUGACGGUACCCUAAGAAUAAGCCACGGCUAACUACGUGCCAGCAGCCGCGGUACUACGUAGGUGGCAAGCGUGGUCCGGAUGUAUUGGGUUCAAAGGGUGCGUAGGUGGUUUGAUAAGUCAGUGGUGAAAGCUGGUUGCUCAACAAUCAAGGUGCCAGUGAUGCUGUAGGACUUGAGAGAAGUGGAGGUUCAUGGAAUGGAUGGUGUGGCGGUGAAAUGCAUAGAUAUCAUCCAGAACGUCGAUUGCGAAUGCAGUGGGCUGUACUUUAUCUGACACUGAGGCACGAAAGUGUGGGGAUCAAACAGGAUUAGAAACCCGGGUAGUCC